AUAAAAUAAUUAUUGUUUAUCAAUAUUUUGUGCUUUAUUUAUUAUUUAACAAUGGUUAAAGUGUGUGUGGUGCGAAGUUGAUUGAAUAGCUGAUGGAAAAAUAAAGAGCAAAGGCAAAGCCUACGACAAGAAUUAGAUUACAGUGAUGGUCAAAAGCAUUUAGAUAUUGCUUUGAAAUCUACAGAUAAGGUAUGGCAGUUUCAUUUUAAAGAACAAGAUGUUGAAGUUUGUGAUAAAAUUGUCAUCAGAAAUACUGUCCACUUCAGUAUUUACAUAGGAAAAUAUUGGAGGAUGAAGCUCUACCUACUGCCUCAGGUUAAUUUAAAUUCUGAAUUGCAACAACAGCAACAAGCAAGAAGGGCACCAUUAAAUGAAUAUUAUACACAUAAGUAUUAUUAUACACAGAAAGAGUAAUGUUAUACACAUAAAUAUUAACAUUUUGUAGAGCAACAACAGAAUAAAAAACCAAAAUAUGAACACCAGCAACUAAAACAGGAACCAUUAAAUGAAUAUUAUACACAGCAAUAACAGCAUCAAAUAAUGGAAAUAAUGGACU